rnacentral:rRNA from 1 species
ACGUAGGGUGCGAGCGUUAAUCGGAAUUACUGGGCGUAAAGUGUGCGCAGGCGGCCGAGCAAGUCGAGUGUGAAAGCCCCGAGCUUAACUUGGGAAUUGCGCUCGAAACUACUUGGCUGGAGUGUGGCAGAGGGGGGUGGAAUUCCACGUGUAGCGGUGAAAUGCGUAGAUAUCGGGAGGAACUCCUGUGGCGAAGGCGGCCGCCUGGUUGGAUACUGACGCUGAGACGCGAAAGCGUGGGGAGCAAACAGGA